AUUGAACGCUGGCGGCAGGCCUAACACAUGCAAGUCGAGCGGAUGAAGGGAGCUUGCUCCUGGAUUCAGCGGCGGACGGGUGAGUAAUGCCUAGGAAUCUGCCUGGUAGUGGGGGAUAACGUCCGGAAACGGGCGCUAAUACCGCAUACGUCCUGAGGGAGAAAGUGGGGGAUCUUCGGACCUCACGCUAUCAGAUGAGCCUAGGUCGGAUUAGCUAGUUGGGGGGGUAAAGGCCUACCAAGGCGGCGAUCCGUAACUGGUCUGAGGGGAUGAUCAGUCACACUGGAACUGAGACACGGUCCAGACUCCUGCGGGGGGCCGCAGUGGGGAAUAUUGGGCGAUGGGCGAAAGCCUGAUCCAGCCCUGCCGCGUGUGUGAAGAAGGUCUUCGGAUUGUAAAGCACUUUAAGUUGGGAGGAAGGGCAGUAAGUUAAUACCUUGCUGUUUUGACGUUACCAACAGAAUAAGCACCGGCUAACUUCGUG
rnacentral:rRNA from 1 species